CAGCAGCCGCGGUAAUGCGAGGGGGGCAAGCGUUGUUCGGAAUUAUUGGGCGUAAAGGGUGCGUAGGCGGCUUGACAAGUCUUGUGUGAAAUCUAUGGGCUCAACCCAUAGUCUGCACGGGAAACUGUCGGGCUUGAGAAUGGGAGAGGUGAGUGGAAUUUCCGGUGUAGCGGUGAAAUGCAUAGAUAUCGGAAGGAACACCUGUGGCGAAAGCGGCUCACUGGACCAUUUCUGACGCUGAUGCACGAAAGCUAGGGGAGCAAACAGGAUUAGAUACCCCGGUAGUCCCUGUCUCUUAUAA
rnacentral:rRNA from 1 species